GUAUUACUGCUUUGGCAGUACAAAUGCAUAAACUGGAAGUAUACAGAACAGAUUAGCAUGGCCCCUGUAUAAGAUGACAUGCAAAUUCAUGAUGUGUUCUGUAUUUUA